ensembl:lncRNA
GCAGCUCCAAAGAGAGCCUCAGUCAUGCAUGCACUUGUGCAGAUGCACAUGCGUGCAUCAGACAGCAUGUUUUGCACCUCUUAACAGCAGCUUGACUGUCCUUCCCCCUGGAUUCCAGGUGGUGGUGGUGUGCGGGGGCGCAGCAGCCGGUCAUCCCUGGCUGUGCCUCCAGGACAGCCUGUGCUUUGGCUUUCUCAAAAUGGCAUUGUUUCAAAUGCUUCUGUGCGAUGUGAUCGGGUCACUGGGACAGGAGGAGGGAGUGGCUGUAUGAGUACCGAGCAGCAUCUCGUUCGACCAAGUGUGAAGCUGGAAUGGAAGCAUGUUGUGAUAGAGGUGUUUUCAAGUAAUGUUGUCCACAGGUAGGAAUUAAAUGGAAUGUAUUGCAGCGAGUAGCAGUGCUUCAAACGUCGUGCCUUUAAAGCAAGUGGCUCGUGCCUCCUUGUUCUGAGUAGUUAGUGCUGAUCGAUACUUCAGCUGCAGUAACCAGCUAAUGCUGGCGGCAUGCACAUGACAGUAGGGUCAGCACAUCUGAAGUUGAAACAAGUUCUGGAAAACCAGGAAUCCUAGAAUGGCCUGGGUUGAAAAGGACCUCAAAGAUCAUUGAAUUCCAACCCCCUGCUAUGUGCAGGGUUGCCAACCAGCAGCCCAGGCUGCCCAGAGCCACAUCCAGCCUGGCCUUGAAUGCCUGCAGGGAUGGGGCAUCCACAGCCUCCUUGGGCAACCUGUUCAGUGCGUCACCACCCUCUGGGUGAAAAACUUCCUCCUAAGAAGGCGUGGAAAAACACGUUCUCAGCCACGCGGAUCUAAAUUAUACCAAAUUGUUGAUUUGAUGAAUUCCUCAAAGCAUGGAAAAUAGGUUUUUAGAGCUCCUUGAAGGUCAGGCACACCACUGAUUCAGUUUUAUGUCUGACGUUAAAGAGCAGAAUGUCAGCUUAGUCCUGUGAGUGAGACUCAUUCAGUGCUAUUGUAACCAUGGAGCAGCGGUGAUAAUUUGAAUUUUGUUCUUGCUCAGUCAGUGUGAAUGCCCGACUUGGGGUCAGCCUGACACCUCGGAAAGCCUUGCGGUGAUUUGAAGGUAGCCAGAAUUGCCCUGGAGGAGGAAAAAAUAAGAGGUAUGACACCACUUAGAUGUGAUAACGGCACUUUCAGCGUGCUCACGUUGGCAUGCAGGUAGUCAGGGCCGUGUCCCAGAGCUGCCAUUCCACAGGUGUGUCUGUGAAUUGGAGUGUGGAAACAGAGAAGGGAUGAAUGGAUCUACGUCGGUAUGGCUCAGCGUCCCCGUGGGCUUUCUGGUGUCACAGAUACAUCCAAACCUGUGCCGAAUUAGGAGGGCUUUGAUGAAGGCCCAACGUGCAAAGCAACGCACGUUACACAAGGAGGGACUUAAGAGAGACACUGAACUUCUAAAGGCAAUUAAAGACGCUUUGUAGUGAUUUGGCAGAUAAUAAGCGGGCAGCAUUACUCUGGCAUCCUCAGUGGAGAGCUGGCUUGAUCUAAUUAACAAGGAACUGGAGCUCCACGAGGGCAGAGUUGAUUAGCAGCCACAGCAGAACCCUUCCAUUACUCAGCCAGUGUGGGUGAUGGAGUGCCCAGUCUGCAGGGCCAGCCGGGGCUGGGAAACCCCGGUCCUGCCUCAUCCAUCCAUCCCUCUGCAAUGGAAGUUUUUCUCUAAGCUUUUUGCUUGUGAAGAAAGCCCUGGAAUCUGAAAGAAGCAGGUUGUAAAGGCGUGUUCAUUCAAUGCAGAUCGCUCGAGCUGCGUGGCACCCGAAGGCCAAUAGGUAAAACAAAAAAGCCCCAUGGUCCUGACAAAGCCAGGAAUGGGAAUGGGGGCUGGAGGUGCUCAGGCUGCUGAGCCAGCCUAGAAAGUGGCUAUUACCCAAACAGGAAUUGCUUGAGGGCUGGUGGCAGGAUUUGUUCAAAAGGAGCAAAAUAGAGGAAAGUGCUCCACGGCUGAUGAGUGCCUGUACUCCAUGAGACCACAGCACUGUGAUUAGAGCUCUGGUAUCACAUGUAUGUGCAUGUGGGCUUGGUGUGAUGCUCAGAUGCUGGAGCACCUCUCCUGUGAGGAAAGGUUGAGGGAACUGGGCUUGUUUGGCUUGGAGAAGAGAAGGCUCCGGGGAGACCUCAUUGCGGCCUUCCAGUACUUGAAGGGAGUGUAUAAACAGGAGGGGGAACGGCUGUUUACAAGGGUGGGUAGUGGUAGGACAAGGGGGAAUGGUUUUAAACUGAGACAGGGGAGGUUUAGGUUAGAUAUUAGGAGGAAGUUUUUCACCCAGAGGGUGGUGACGCACUGAACAGGUUGCCCAAGGAGGCUGUGGAUGCCCCAUCCCUGGAGGCAUUCAAGGCCAGGCUGGAUGUGGCUCUGGGCAGCCUGGGCUGCUGGUUGGCGACCCUGCACAUAGCAGGGGGUUGGAACUGGAUGAGCAUUGUGGUCCUUUUCAACCCAGGCCAUUCUAGGAUUCUAUGAUCUGGGGAGGGAUGUUUCCUAUUCCCAUCCUUUCUUUUAGGAAGGAACACAAGUAUGGUCUAUACAGACAUUGACAGUGCCAAAAAUAUGAAGGGUGAUUCUGUGAAGUAAGAAUCUUUUGCUCAGUUCUGAUGUUAACAGUGAGAAACAGUGAUAGUUGGGACUGAUCACUGCUGCUUACCUCACACAGCCUGCGGUUCUCUGGAGCGCAGCACAAAGCACUCCCCUCCAUAGGGCAGUUAUCUGGGGAGGGCAUUUCAGGCAUUUUGAAAGGGUUUAUUUUUAGGAAUCCAAUAUCAACUUUAGAGUAACUGGGUUUUUUUAUUUUUUAUUUUUUAUUU